CCGGGAGGAGCCGCGGCGCCUGCUCUACCGGGCGUUGCAGGCCCUGGUUUUUACUCCUGAAAAAGGCAACUUGUUUAUGUGAAUGAGACGCCAGCGCUGAGCAACCCCAAGCUGAGCAACCCCAAGGCAGCUGUGUGCUCUUUCGCGGCGGCGGGGCUUUGCCCAGAGCAUGCAUCAUCGCGGCCACCCUGCUUAGCGGUUCUUCUCCUGCAGGAUAGCUGUCAAUAGGUUUCUGCGUUCAGAAGCGUUUUCCACAUGGCAUCUGUGAUACAAGUGAAAACUAGCUGCAAUAAUGAAGAAAACAUCUGUUCAAAGGAAUAAAUAAUCCGGUCAAAAAGUGUGCUAUU